GAUGAAGAACGUAGCGAAAUGCGAUAAGUAAUGUGAAUUGCAGAAUUCAGUGAAUCAUCGAAUCUUUGAACGCAUCUUGCGCUCCUUGGUAUUCUGAGGAGCAUGCCUGUUUGAGUGUCAUUAAAUUCUCAACUACACUGACUUUGAAUUGGUGUGGCUUGGAUUUGGGGGGAAAAUUGUUGUGGGCUUUUUGUAUAGUCUGCUCCCCUGAAAUUGAUUAGCGGUACCUUUGUGGAACUGUCAACAGGUGUGAUAAUUAUCUACAUCUUAGACAUCUGCUGGAAUGCUGCUUUCUAAACCUUACUUGUAUUGACAAUCUUGACCUCAAAUCAGGUAGGACUACCCGCUGAACUUAAGCAUAUCAAUAAGCGGAGGA
rnacentral:misc_RNA from 1 species